rnacentral:rRNA from 1 species
CAGCCGCCGCGGUAAUACGUAGGUGGCAAGCGUUGUCCGGAAUUAUUGGGCGUAAAGCGUGCGCAGGCGGUUUGUUAAGACAGAUGUGAAAUCCCCGGGCUCAACCUGGGAACUGCAUUUGUGACUGACAAGCUAGAGUCUGGCAGAGGGGGGUGGAAUUCCGCGUGUAGCAGUGAAAUGCGUAGAUAUGCGGAGGAACACCGAUGGCGAAGGCAGCCCCCUGGGCCAACACUGACGCUCAUGCACGAAAGCGUGGGGAGCAAACAGGAUUAGAUACCCUGUAGUCCCUGUCCUUAUACAC